UGUGGGAGUCAUAAAGCCACGGUAAAGGCUUGUAAUAUUGCAGGGUGCCCCCUGACCUCGGCUGACCAGCACUCUGAGCUUUACAAUGUAUUGGAAUGUAUUAACCUUAUAUGGUGAAGGGGGCAAUAAAAGCCUUGACCGGAUGAGGUAACGUGAGACACUGGCAAACAGCCAUGCGGCUGGAGAGACACAAAGGAUAAUAAAAAAGGUGCAGUAGGAGAGGGAAGUUCGAUAAGGAGUUGCUCCUACCAUCAUGAAAAUAUUGCUGGCUCUCUGUGUCAUUAUUUUAUGCUAAACUUCGCCAUUUGUACGGCUGGCUCCGACA